rnacentral:rRNA from 1 species
AUCCAGACUCCUACGGGAGGCAGCAGUGGGGAAUAUUGCACAGUGGGGGAAACCCUGAUGCAGCAACGCCGCGUGAGUGAAGAAGUCCUUCGUGAUGUAAAGCUCUAUCAGCAGGGAAGAAAAUGACGGUACCUGAGUAAGAAGCCCCGGCUAACUACGUGCCAGCAGCCGCGGUAAUACGUAGGGGGCAAGCGUUAUCCGGAUUUACUGGGUGUAAAGGGAGCGUAGACGGCGAUGCAAGUCUGAAGUGAAAGGCGGGGGCCCAACCCCCGGACUGCUUUGGAAACUGUAUGGCUGGAGUGCAGGAGAGGUAAGUGGAAUUCCUAGUGUAGCGGUGAAAUGCGUAGAUAUUAGGAGGAACACCAGUGGCGAAGGCGGCGUACUGGACUGUAACUGACGUUGAGGCUCGAAAGCGUGGGGAGCAAACAGGAUUAGAUACCCCAGUACAC